GACGAACGCUGGCGGCGUGCCUAAUACAUGCCAGUCGAGCGAACAGCUCCGGAGCUUGCUCGUCUGACGUUACCGGCGGACGGGUGAUUAACACGUGGAUAACCCAUCUAUAAGACUGAGAUAACUUCGGGAAGCCGGAGCUAAUACCAGUAAAUAUAUUGAACCGCAGGGUUCAAUAGUGAAAGAUGGUUUUGCUGUCACUUAUAGAUGGAUCCCCGCCGCAUUAGCUAGUUGGUACGGUAACGGCUUACCAAGGCAACGAUGCGUAGCCGACCUGAGGGGGUGAACGGCCACACUGGAACUGAGACACGGCCCAGACUCCUAGGGGAGGCAGCAGUAGGGAAUCGUCCGCAAUGGGCGAAAGCCUGACGGAGCAACGCCGCGUGAGUGAUGAAGGUCUUCGGAUCGUAAAACUCUGUUAGUAGGGAAGAACAAAUGUGUAAGUAACUAUGCACGUCUUGACGGUACCUGAACAAAAAGCCACGGCUAACUACGUG
rnacentral:rRNA from 1 species